rnacentral:rRNA from 1 species
UUAGCGGCGGACGGGUGAGUAACACGUAGGYAACCUGCCCUCAAGACUGGGAUAACAUUCGGAAACGAUAGCUAAUACCGGAUACGCGAUUUGUUCUCAUGAUGGAAUARGGAAAGAUGGAGCAAUCUAUCACUUACAGAUGGACCCGCGGCGCAUUAGCUAGUUGGUGAGGUAACGGCUCACCAAGGCGACGAUGCGUAGCCGACCUGAGAGGGUGAUCGGCCACACUGGGACUGAGACACGGCCCAGACUCCUACGGGAGGCAGCAGUAGGGAAUCUUCCGCAAUGGACGAAAGUCUGACGGAGCAACGCCGCGUGAGUGAUGAAGGUUUUCGGAUCGUAAAGCUCUGUUGCCAGGGAAGAAACGUCUYGGKAGAGUAACUGCUACCAGAGUGACGGUACCUGAGAAGAAAGCCCCGGCUA